ensembl:lncRNA
UGAACCAUUUGACUGGGGGAGAGGGAGAGGAGCGGGCUGACAAAUUGGAAGGCACACUCUCAGGCAAGUAAAUAUCAACUCUGAGUCCUCGGUUUGGGAGCCUAAGGAGAAAAGGAACCUCCCGGAUGCUUGGUCGGGAUGCCUGGAUCUUAAAAAUGUGUGAAAGCAUGUAAGUGGCACACUUCUACAACGUCACCGAAGCAAGAUAGAUUAAACAAAGGUGUCAGAGAAGUUUGGAAUAAGGAAUAUUUUAACGCAGCCUUGAAAGGAUUUCAUCGUUUGACGGUUGUUUAUUUAUGAGACGAUUAAACUGAAAGUACAUUUAAACCAGCCUCUAAAACACCGUAUGGCUUGCAGCUCCCCCUGCCACGGCAGAAUUCAACUCCACUGCAGAAGCGUUACGGGGAAAAGAUUUUCCUACAAAUAGGGUACUUUUUAAAACGUCACACACGGCAAAAUUCCGCGUGGUCUUUAUCUGGGACAUGACGCCUUUGGCACCAGCCGUCACUGUCCCUAAACAUCAGCGUCCUCUUCAAACGGUAACAUGCACGAGCAGAGAAUGGCUUUUGGUAAUGAACGAACGGCUUCCCCGAUCUGUCGCGUAAACAGCAGCUUGAUUGGAUCAUCUGGCCUUUAAUAACGAAGAACGGGAGCAGCACACACACCGGACCCAAUGUGUUGGCUCUGCAGCCGGAUCAGAAAACUCUCCCCCGGCCUCAACAGCAAAUCUCGCUGGGGUGUCCCCGCGCCUUCAAGUCGACCCACGAUGACAAAGCCCACGGGAGCCGUUAGCACACUAACCGGGAGCGUGGUCCUGUCUGAUUUUCACAGUGACAUGUGCGAUGUGGCCGCCGCUCUCGAACCCCGGAGCCGGCCGCCGUGCCCGAAUCAACCGAGUAAAGACCCAUGCAUCCCGGAGCGGAUGAGGGGGUUAAGGUUAGCUUCUCAGAAGAUCCUGACAUCGGAGGCUCUCGAUGCUACUACAUCCUGUGAAAGUCAGGUUGAACAGCCGAGGCCAAUUACUAAACACAACAAAGACAAGAUGAAACAGAAAAUGCAUUUGAAAAAAUAUAUAAGCCACUGGAUAUAACUGAUACCUUCCUCCUCAACUCUUCAAUUAUUAGAGAGUCAGCAUAUCCCGUGUGACCUUGGGCAAGUUACUUCACCUCUCCAUGCCUUGGAUUCCUCACCUGUAAAAUGGGGCUAACACUCGUAAAUACCUCAAAGACUUGUUGUGAGGGUUAAAUGAGAUAAGGCAUAUAAAGUGCUGAGAACAAGGCUGGAGUAUAGUGAGUGCUUUCUACCUCCAGAAAACCUUACCUUCCACGCUUGAAAAGACCUUGGCUGUCAACCAGGCCAUUGCCACUGGUAGGUUUGAUAUUUAUCACACUUCUGGGUCAUUGUUGUUGAUGCCCUUGUCCUUGGCUGUGUGAGUUGAGUUACUCAUGGUUAGGCUUGUUCCUGGGAGAUAUGGUCCUCAAAGGUGGGCUACUUCUCGUGGAAAGGCACUGUCCUGGCCAUCUCAGGAAAGAUCUCACGCAUUCUAGCCUCAUUUCUUGAUCCCCACAUCUCCUGAUCUUGCUAGAAUGACCCAGAUAAGAUCUUUUCGCCCUUGUUGCACCCAAUUGUGCUAAGAAGACAUAGUCUUCCAAUUGGGGAAAAAAAAAGAGAGCUUAGCAACCAAAUAGUUGCUUUAUUCGAUCAACUGCACAUCUUCCCGCCUGACCAAGUCUUCAUGGGCCUUGAAUCUUUCCCGCCCAAAGCUUGGCAGAUUUUGCCACAUUUCUUAAAAGCCCCAAACCUUUUUUCCCUGAUGAUUCGAAACGCACGUAAGCGACAACAAAAGGCUUUUCACAAGUUACAGCAGUUUUUCUUAGCGUUUCAAAAUGCAUCUUAUUGCUUCAUCGAUGUGCCUGUACAGUUUGCAAGUACAAAUCAACUAUUUCAUAUUCACUCUAUCAUGCCCACCCUCUUUCAUUUUUGGAAGUCCCCCAAAAAGUAAACUAUCACCCUCUAAUUCUUUCUGCCACUGCUGUUGAUAAAAGGAAAUGAAAUGUAUUAGUCACCUCCCCUCAACCCAGGCUCCCCAU